AAGUAACACCGCUAACAGCUUCUGUGAGUCAAAAAGUCCAGAACGAUUUUUUUCUAUAAUACUCAAUGAUGAAGAACGGCUACCACUACUUCAUCUGUUACAACGAUACCACAGCAUAAAAUGGAUAUCCAGGCCCUAGACAGCUCAAAGUCCGAUAAUGGUGGUGGUAAGCUUGAACCAAUCAUGAAAUUUAUUAGAUAUGAAUAUGUCACGAUACCAGAUUAUUGCCAGUAGCCAUCACCAUUUUCCGAUUAAAAGUUUCGAAAUUUUGAUAAAA